CGAGCGGGCCCCGGCGUGCCAUCCCUGAGCUGGCCUUCCGCACAGACUCCCACGCCGGUGCGCAGCAGCUCAGCAGCAGCCUCGCCUGCUGCAUGGCCUCCGGACCUUAAAAGGCUCUGCGCCGCUCAGGAUAGAACUUCAAGAUGGACCUCCUUCUCCAAGAAAGUCUGGGUGUACGUGUGUGAUAGCUCACAAGAGGGCAAAUGCUUUGAGAUUGCCCAUGGAAGUGAAGCCUGUGGUCCUCGCAGAGUCACCAGAGACAGAGACAGAGUGCCAGUGGAGGAGGAGCAGAGAGAGAGGGAGACAGAGAAUCCGAAGCAGGCUCCAGGCUGUCGGCACAGAGUCCGACACGGGGCUCAAACCCACUAACCGUGAGAUCAUGACCUGAGCAGAAGUCAGUUGCCCAAUGGACCGAGCCCCCACAUGUGGCUAUUUUGAAGAGAGAGAGAGCAUGUGCACACGAGCAGGGGAGGAGCAGAGAGAGAGAGGGAGAGAGAGGAUCCAAAGCAGUCUCUGCUCUGAUAGCAGAGCCCAAUGCGGCACUUGAACUCACGAACCUCAAGAUCAUGACCUGAGCUGAAGUCGGAUGCUUAACUGACUGGGCCACCCAGGCACCCUGUCCUCUAUCUUCUUUGAUGCCUUUUGAAUUUUGUAUCCUAUGCAUGUGGUAACAAUUUUGAAAAUGAUAUCCAGGCAAUGGGGAUCCCCUGAAGAAUUUCAGGCAGAAUUUUGCCUGAAAGCAAGGCUGUCAUCGUUAAUGCUGCUGAUCAACUCUUCUGAGUCUUUGAGGGGACCCAGAGUUUCAGUUUCAAGCUUCUAAUGGUCAUCUGUGUCUCUUGACUUGUGGCCCCUUCCUCCACCAUCAAAGGGCAUCGCUCCAAUCUCUGCUAUCAUCAUCACAUCACCUUCUCCUCUGUAGUAAGAGCUCCCUCUGCCUCCCUCUUGACUUCAGAAAAAGCAGCCUAGUGAAGAAUCCAUUUACGUGUCAUUGCCCGGAAACUCCUUAAUCCCUUACCUCACCACCUCCGCAUUCCCAGAAAAAGAAAAGAAAAACAAAAGAGAAAUAAAAAGAAAAAAAAGAAACAAAGUUGUGUAGAUGGACCGGCGAACAGACUGAAAUACUACUGAAAUUACUUCGUUUUGCCCUAGAAGUCAAACUAUGAAAUGCGUUAUAGUCCAUAAACUAAGCAGGCAGAGAGACUUUUGUUCCUGAAGAGAGAGGUUGGCCUUGUUGGGCGGGGCUUAGUGUAACAACUUUGUUCUCCAGUAGAUGGCGCUGCUGAGCUUACUGGGGUGGAUUCUUGUCGCGCUUGUAGGUGUGUAUGCGCAUGCGCGGGACCGAUGAACAUGGCGCCGCCCAGCUACCCGUUCUGUAGUAUUGGAACUGUGAUCUCCCCACCCCAGCAAUAGCGCACCCAUCCUUUGUCUUCCGUCCACUCUGCGCUUUUACACUGUCCCUGACCAAGCCCCAGGCAGCACGUCCCUCCUGAUUCUUGUCUCCGGUGCGGCUGUUUUCCCCUGGCCCCUUACUUGUGAGGGACUGCGGUUUUGACCCCUUCUGCCCUCCUGCGGGAGGGUCUCACGGAGAAAUGGCGGCUGCCAGCUGCACCCAGGAAUAUUUGCGGGACCGGGCUGCUGCCGGUGCCCAGAGACUGUGGCCAGGUGCCAGCCCACCCCAGAAAAAGUUUGUGAGAUAGUAUAGCAGCAGUGUUUCAGGGAUUAUGGCAAAUCACAACAUGCAUCUGGCAUCAGGCUUCACCCCCAACGACUUUGUUCCAGCACCAGCAAAUGUGGUUGUUCUCCCGGGUUCACUGGGGCCUUUUCCUGCGGGGGGCCACACAGCCUCUACCAGAUGUGCUCCCAGCAGGAGAAUCACCUGUCCCCGCGUGGCCUGAAGACCACCAGACUUCACUCUGCUCCUGGGGAUUCGCCCUUCCCACCAGAGCACCACCAGGUAUUGAGCUGUGGAGUUUCAGGCUUUGCGCUCCCCGUUUAUAGAGUCUUAAUGGAACUUAAACCCUCUCCUUUCUCCUUUCUCCUUUUUUAGUUCAGUCCCUGCGGCUGUUUCAACUUUUCCACUUUCUCUCCAACUGCUUUUGGCGGGGGCGGGGGGGUGGGGGUGGGAAUGUGCUUUUUCCAUAUUCUCCCCACCGUCUCAGUCCUUUCUCCACACGCAAAAACUGCCCCUGUCUUCCAUGGCUUCUCUCUCCCCCAGUUCACCUCUCCGCACCGUGUACCUGGUGAGUUCUGUGGUUCAGGUUGUGCAGAUUAUUGUGUUAAUCCUCAAAUCAGUUUUCUAGGUGUGCAGGAUGGUUUAAUGUUGAUCUGGCUGUAUUUCAUGCACGCGAGACACACAAAAAACUUCCAUGUUGUUCUGCCAUCUUGGCUCCUCCCUGGUCCAUUUUUAAUUGGGUUGUUUGUUUUCUUACUGUUGAAUUUUAAGAGUUCUUUGUAUAUUUUGGAUAACAGUCCUCUAUCAGAUGUGCUUUUGCAAAUAUUUUCUCCCAGUGGGUGCCUUGUCUUCUAAUUCUCUUGAUACUGUGUUUUGUGGAGCAGAAAUUUUUUUUUAUUUUAACUAAGUCCACCUUAUUGAUUAUUUCUUUCAGGGAUCACUCACUCCCCACAAACCAUGCUGACCUUGAAAUAUUAAAAAUAUAAACUUUUGCUUCCCAGGAAA